rnacentral:tRNA from 1 species
CCCCGCGUAGUUUAGUGGCUAGAACGCUUGGCUGUAGACCGAGAGAUCCCCGGUUCGAGUCCGGGCGCGGGGA